UAGAAUCAGAAAAGUUAAGAGCAAAACCGGUAAGAAGGCAGUUGAAUAUUAUUAGUUGACCAAGUGUAUGCCAGAGACGGCUGAUGGAAUAUAAUUUAUAGUUUAUACAUUUUACGUAAUUUUCAAAUCAUUACGUUUAUUAAUAAUAUGUCUUGAUGAAUAGAUAAUGAAAAAUUUGUAAAGAAAAUAUAUAUCGUAAUUAAUUAAUACAUAUUAAAUCAGAUUUUUUAUGGGUUUUUUUUUCUCCUGUAACCAUGAAAAACAACACUAUUUUUGUAUAAACGUAUAUGUAAUAUUAGUAAAUAUUUAAAAUAAAAUUAGAUUUGAGUAAAUUUGUAUGCAGUACGUGGCCACUAAUUAAACGAUACGCUAUUAGUAUCGCCUAUAAAAAGAUUUUUUUGUAUGAGCCGAAAAGAGCGGCGCCGAAGCCUUAUGUUUCACCAACUAUAUUUAUAGGGACGCUACAUUUGUUUAAAUUUAAUAUAGAACUUCUAUUUGGUUUUCCUAUUGCACUUUUUCAUGUCUGUUUUGAAUUCAAUACGAUUGUUACUUCUCCAGUUUCAUCUUUCCUCCGUAACGUGCCCAACCCAUCGGAGACAUUUUUUCUUUAAUUUCGCCUCCCAUCUAAGCCACGCUUAAAUUACCUCUUAUUUAAUCAUUCCUCAUAUAAAAUUUUGUUUAGCACUCUAACGGUCGCGCGGAGUAAAUAAUCACCAUGAUUUUACAAUAGCAUUAUACGACUGCCGAAAAAUAUCGUUUUUACCUACAGUCUCUAUUGCUGUUAAAUCAUAAUACCAAUAUUUACGAUGUUUGCAAGUACCAUUAAUAUAUGAAUAAUAUUCAUGAAAAAAAAAAAAACCUAGUUUCGUAUCGACAACUGUCAAUGCUCCGAAAAUAUUACAUCAUAAGUGAAUUUAGAAAAAAUUCAUAAUGAAAACUAAACUACGAAAGGCGAAAUUUUUAACAACCCAGGAGACUAAAUAUGAACCGCGCGACCGGUAGAAUGCUGUUUUUUCCACUCGUUCGUUUUAUUAUUUUCAUCUUUAUCACACUCAUUCUGUGGUCUUUUUUUCUGAUAUUUAAUUGUACGUCAUGGUCGUUAUCGGCACACAUUUGUGUUAUUGACUAUUGAAAUAGUUUACAACUAACAAAACUUCUAUUCAUCCGGUUGUUCUAUGAUGGAUAACGAACCUUACUAUUGGUUCGUACUCUGAAAGGAGACCCUCUAUGUUGAUGGACAACAAUUUCAGCACCAAGCUAGGCCCUAAACAGAUGCUAUUCGUUUGUC